AAAUGCUAGGCAUCCAGAAGCUGACUGUGCAUCUGAUGGGCUCACUAACAUUCAGGAACAGGUUGGCCUCAGACUUCAUCAAUGGAAAGUGUAGGCAUAGGACAAAAAAAAGAGCACGUUUGAAAGACUACAUUUUCAUGAAAUUGGAAAUGCUACAUGCAAGCUGCAGAUGCUGAUUGCAGAGUCAGAAGACAUGGCCGUCAGUGUUAGGACUCUGCCUUAUUCUGCUAUUUCUCCUUGACGACCUACAGUUUGCAUUGUGGGUGGCAUUCAUUAACGAGGGCAGUAAAAACAUGGAGAAAACA
ensembl:lincRNA Gm42434 predicted gene 42434